rnacentral:rRNA from 1 species
AUACGGAGGGUGCAAGCGUUACUCGGAAUCACUGGGCGUAAAGCGCGCGCAGGCGGCUUGAUAAGUUGGAUGUGAAAGCCUACGGCUCAACCGUAGAACUGCAUCCAAAACUAUUUAGCUAGAGUGUGGGAGAGGAAGAUGGAAUUAGUUGUGUUGGGGUAAAAUCCGUAGAGAUAACUAGGAAUACCAAAAGCGAAGGCAAUCUUCUGGAACACUACUGACGCUGAGGCGCGAAAGCGUGGGGAGCAAACAGGAUUAGAAACCCGUGUAGUCC